rnacentral:lncRNA from 1 species
AUGUUAUUAUGUAAACAUAUUAUGCUGCUUAGUUUAAAGUUUAAGUUUGCACUAAGCAAAAAACCUUGCGUAACAAGCAUGAAACAUGAAAAAAAGUUAUAUUCAUGUUAAGUAUAGAAAUUUCUAAAUCAUUAAGAUCAUCUUAAGUGACAUUCCCUCACAAAUUAUUCUCAACAAUGUUUUCAUAAUUUGAGUGAUUACUAGAGACUUUGCUUUAGGUGUGUCUCCGUAUGCACAGUGCUACGGCAUGUACCUCCUUUAUUCACAGAUAAUUGGUCCCUCUGAGGCUGCUCACCACUCGUCAUACUAUACAUGCAGAGAGAGGCCCUGCGGUAGCCAUGUAUGAGACGCACCACAGUGGACACAAUAGUGCGUGUCAUGGCUGCAAAACUCCACCUGCAUGGCCAGGACUGAGCUGCUGACAUUUCCUAUACACUGUGAAAGCCCUGGGGAAUCAGGAUGUUCUCCGGAGAUAGAUGAAUCAGCAGAGAUCUUAUUAGCAAAACCGCUGUGAAUUACUGAAUGGACCGGAGGAGAUGAGGAAACGUGGAUUCCAACAAGAACAC